rnacentral:rRNA from 1 species
CUAGCAUAUCAAUAAGCGGAGGAAAAGAAACCAACAGGGAUUGCCCUAGUAACGGCGAGUGAAGCGGCAACAGCUCAAAUUUGAAAUCUGGCUCUUUUAGAGUCCGAGUUGUAAUUUGCAGAGGGCGCUUUGGCUUUGGCAGCGGUCCAAGUUCCUUGGAACAGGACGUCACAGAGGGUGAGAAUCCCGUACGUGGUCGCUGGCUAUUGCCGUGUAAAGCCCCUUCGACGAGUCGAGUUGUUUGGGAAUGCAGCUCUAAAUGGGAGGUACAUUUCUUCUAAAGCUAAAUAUUGGCCAGAGACCGAUAGCGCACAAGUAGAGUGAUCGAAAGAUGAAAAGCACUUUGGAAAGAGAGUCAAACAGCACGUGAAAUUGUUGAAAGGGAAGCGCUUGCAGCCAGACUUGCUUACAGUUGCUCAUCCGGGUUUCUACCCGGUGCACUCUUCUGUAGGCAGGCCAGCAUCAGUUUGGGCGGUAGGAUAAAGGUCUCUGUCACGUACCUCCUUUCGGGGAGGCCUUAUAGGGGAGACGACAUACUACCAGCCUGGACUGAGGUCCGCGCAUCUGCUAGGAUGCUGGCGUAAUGGCUGUAAGCGGCCCGUCUUGAAACACGGACCAAGGAGUCUAACAUCUAUGCGAGUGUUUGGGUGUCAAGCCCGAGCGCGUAAUGAAAGUGAACGGAGGUGGGAACCCGCAAGGGUGCACCAUCGACCGAUCCUGAUGUCUUCGGAAGGAUUUGAGUAAGAGCAUGGCUGUUGGGACCCGAAAGAUGGUGAACUAUGCUUGAAUAGGGUGAAGCCAGAGGAAACUCUGGUGGAGGCUCGCAGCGGUUCUGACGUGCAAAUCGAUCGUCAAAUUUGGGCAUAGGGGCGAAAGACUAAUCGAAC